CUACGGAACUCCUACGGGAGGCAGCAGUGGGGAAUAUUGGACAAUGGGCGAAAGCCUGAUCCAGCCAUGCCGCGUGUGUGAAGAAGGUCUUCGGAUUGUAAAGCACUUUUAGUGGGGAGGAAGGGCAUUAACCUAAUACGUUGGUGUCUUGACGUUACCGACAGAAUAAGAACCUGCUAACUCUGUGCCAGCAGCCGCGGUAAUACAGAGGGUGCAAGCGUUAAUCGGAAUUACUGGGCGUAAAGCGCGCGUAGGUGGUUUGUUAAGUUGAAUGUGAAAUCCCCGGGCUCAACCUGGGAACUGCAUCCAAAUCUGGCAAGCUAGAGUAUGGUAGAGGGUAGUGGAACUUCAUGUGUAGCGGUGAAAUGCGUAGAUAUAGGAAGGAACACCAGUGGCGAAGGCGACUACCUGGACUGAUACUGACACUGAGGUGCGAAAGCGUGGGGAGCAAACAGGAUUAGAUACCCUUGUAGUCCUCUUCGA
rnacentral:rRNA from 1 species